rnacentral:rRNA from 1 species
UUUCGCAAUGCCCGAAAGGGUGACGAAGCGACGCCGCGUGUGGGAAGAAGGCCUUCGGGUUGUAAACCACUGUUGGGAGUUAGGAAGUGUGGGGGUGUUAAUAGCGCCUUCACUUGACUAAAGCUCCAGAGGAAGCCACGGCUAACUCUGUGCCAGCAGCCGCGGUAAUACAGAGGCGGCAAGCGUUGUUCGGAAUUAUUGGGCGUAAAGAGCACGUAGGCGGCUCUGUAAGUCAGCUGUGAAAGCCUUCUGCUUAACGGAAGAACAGCAGUUGAAACUACGGUGCCUGAGUGCGGGAGGGGAGAGUGGAACUUCUGGUGGAGCGGUGAAAUGCGUAGAUAUCAGAAGGAACGCCGGCGGCGAAAGCGGCUCUCUGGCCCGUAACUGACGCUGAGUGUGCGAAAGCUAGGGGAGCAAACGGGAUUAGAUACCCCGGUAGUCCUAGCCGUAAACGAUGGGCACUAAGUAGAGGGGUUUUA